rnacentral:rRNA from 1 species
GGUUACUGCUAUCGGUGUUCGUCUAAGCCAUGCGAGUCAUAUGUAGCAAUACAUGGCGUACUGCUCAGUAACACGUGGAUAACCUGCCCUUGGGUCCGGCAUAACCCCGGGAAACUGGGGAUAAUUCCGGAUAACACACAUAUGCUGGAAUGCUUUAUGCGUGAAAUGGAUUCGUCUGCCCAAGGAUGGGUCUGCGGCCUAUCAGGUAGUAGUGGGUGUAAUGUACCUACUAGCCUACGACGGGUACGGGUUGUGAGAGCAAGAGCCCGGAGAUGGAUUCUGAGACAUGAAUCCAGGCCCUACGGGGCGCAGCAGGCGCGAAAACUUUACAAUGCGGGAAACCGUGAUAAGGGGACACCGAGUGCCAGCAUCCUAUGCUGGCUGUCCAGGUGUGUAAACUACACCUGUUAGCAAGGGCCGGGCAAGACCGGUGCCAGCCGCCGCGGUAACACCGGCGGCCCGAGUGGUGAUCGUGAUUAUUGGGUCUAAAGGGUCCGUAGCCGGUUUGGUCAGUCCUCCGGGAAAUCUGACAGCUUAACUGUUAGGCUUUCGGAGGAUACUGCCAGACUUGGAACCGGGAGAGGUAAGAGGUACUACAGGGGUAGGAGUGAAAUCUUGUAAUCCCUGUGGGACCACCUGUGGCGAAGGCGUCUUACCAGAACGGGUUCGACGGUGAGGGACGAAAGCUGGGGGCACGAACCGGAUUAGAUACCCGGGUAGUCCCAGCCGUAAACGAUGCUCGCUAGGUGUCAGGCGUGGCGCGACCGUGUCUGGUGCCGCAGGGAAGCCGUGAAGCGAGCCACCUGGGAAGUACGGCCGCAAGGCUGAAACUUAA